GAUCAUAUAAUGACAGGUUAUGACAAGUUGUGUCAGCUGUUAUGACAUAUUAUGUAAUGGUUAAGACCGUGUCAUAAAGUGCUAUGAUGCUGGAUGUCAAGUAAAGUGUUACCCAAAUUGUACUGGGUCUAGGGUGUCAGGUACUUACUGACUUUAUUGUCCCCAUGGGGAAAUUUUGUUGCAGUGUCAUGUACACAUUUAAAGUGGCUUUAAAUACAAAACAAACUGACAAUGCAACUUUCAUAACAGUUACAUACCAAUAAAAAGAUACUAGCCUGCUGGUCGGUAGGAACAUUAGCCUGAGCUAUUUAGGAGGGAUAUCACACCUGGCACAAAUUAUUGUCUAGUUCUGUUUUUCCUGCAGAGGGGUGCCCUAUACCUGCGCCCAGAGGUGAGUAGUUCAAAGUCCGGUUACAGGGGGUGGCUUGGGUCUAAAAUGUUUUUGCCUUGCGGUGGGCCCUGACCUUAAAGAUCUCAUCCAGGCCUGUCUGUUUGACUCCAAGUACCUUGCUUGCUGUGGUGAUAAUCCUUCUCAGCAUAUUUCUCUGGCUGACAGUGGUAUUGCCAAACCAACAAACAAUACAAAAAGUUAAAAUACUCUCAAUGAAAGAUUUGUAAAACAGAGUCAGUAUGGUACAGUCAACAUUAAAAGAUCCCAGCUUUUUGAGAAAGUACAGUCUCUGUUGACUCUUUUUGUAGAUCAGAUCUGUACAUUUACACCACUGAAACUUGUCCAAGGGGACACCCAGAUAUUUGUAUUCCCCUACAAUCUCUAUGUUCUGACCUCUGAUAGAUGUUGCAGAGGUAGGUGUUGUACGCUUUCUGAAAUCUAUGCACAUCUCUUUGGUAUUAGUGGUAUUGAAGACAAAGUGUGAUUCGUCACAACACUCUACAAAGUCAUUUAGGACCCGGCCAUGGUGUUCCUCGUUAUCAUGCAACAGGCUGAUCAAGGCAGUGUCAUCAGCAAACUUAACGAGGUGUCUGUCAGGAUGGGAACUAGUACAACUAUUAGUGUACAAGAUGUACAGGAGUGGGGACAAAACAGAUCCCUGAGGAGAGCCUGAGUUGGUGCGCAUGUCUGCCACGUGGGGACCUACUUUGACCCGCUGUGAUCGCUGGCUCAGGAUGUCCAACAACCACAAGUCCAUCUAAGGAGAAGUCCUAAAUGAGUCUCUGUGCCAGAAUGUAAGGCUGGAUUGUGUUGAAGGCAGAAGAAGGUGGAGGUGAUAUGAUCCAUAACUAACCUCUCAAAGCACUUCAUGAUGACAGAAGUGAGUCCUUGUGUUUUAAACUGUGAUUUUGUCUAUUAAGAGAGCGUGGCCAGUUUUAUGAUCGUAACACUUUAGUCUGUUAAGACCUUUCAUAUUGAUUGAAUAUUGUGUUGUUUGCUGUGUUGCACUGAAAAUAAGUUUGCUGUAAUUACACUUAAUAUUUGUUGUGUUUUGUUUACAGGCCUUUGUAGAACUGUACAAAUUCAAGUUGUAAUAAAAUCUAUAAAUGUUGUGAUAAUCCUGUGUUGCUUCCAUACCAGUAUCCAGUUGAGGUAUUUAUGACCCAGGCCUAUCCUAGAACAUGUUUGUUAUAAAUCUACCAAUAGUAGGCCUAUAUCUGCUCUUUUACUUGUAGCGUACAUUGGACUUUCAAGUGGAGUUGAUUGCCUUAAGGACAUAAGCAGGGUUUGGGUCAAUACCAAUUUAAUUUGAAAUUCCAAUUCAAUUCUUGAAUUCACUCAUAAAGUGGAGAAUUUACAUUGAAUUCAAUUUGAAUUCCAACAAUCUUCAAGUUAUGGAAUUGGAAUUGGAUUUAGACUAUUUGCACUGAUGGAACUGGAAUUAUAAAAACAUUUGAUCUUUGGAAUUGAAUUGGAUUUCAAGUCAAUAUUUGUAAAUUUCCCAGUUAAUGGAAUUAAUGCACUUAGUAUCAAACAUUUACUGAAGGAGGUGUUUUAAAUAAUGUAUAUUUCCAUUACAGUAAGACUGUCUGAACAGUGACAUAAUCAGCCUGAAAGCCUGAGGGAAUUUAAGUUGUGGAAUUGUUUUGGAUAAUAUUUAAUUGUGAAUUGAAUUAUUGAAAUGUAGUUACCUUGGAAUUGAGAGGGAUUAAAUUAUCUCUGAAUUCAAAGGCUGACCUGGAAUUUGAAUUGAAUUUCAUGGAAUUCACAGAGGGAAUUGAACUAGAAUUGAAUUAGUGGAAUUAACCCCAACCCUUGAUAUAGCUGACAUUUAGGUGUUAGUAUUUAAUCAAUUAAUGAUCAAUAACAGAUAAUCUUCAUUACAUGAAUUAAUGUGUAAUUGCAGUUUUAGCACAAAACGUGAAAAUCAGGAUGAGUCUCUGUCCUUUAAUUAAUAUGCUAUCAAAACUUGCUUCGUGACCCAUAUUUCUACAAGCAUUACCCUAAUAUAAUCAUAUGUAUCUGUUAUCCCUUUGACUCCUAGUCAACCAAACAAUUUCACUGUAAAACUUCCAGCAACUUCAACUUCAACCAGGUAGCCAGGCGGUUAAGCGCGUUGGAACAGUAAACGAAAGGUAGCUGGUGGAAAAAUCUGCAUUUCCGCGCUUGAGCAAGGCAUUAACCCCAAACAUCUGUUCCCAGGACCCCCGAUGACUUGGACGUCGAUAAAGCGUCGAGUUCGAAUUAAUACAAUGCAUCACGUCCCCUAAUUUAGAUGUCAGAUGAUGAGCUAUGCAUGUACCAUGCGAAGGGCCUCGAGCAGUCGAGAACAGCUACAACAUUUGGCAUUUCGUAGAGUGAACAAACCUCCGCUGCUACUGCUCUUGGAUGCAGCCCCGUUGAGAACCUGCGUGUUGCUUAGCAACAAUGUGACACGGUAGUUUACGCAACCAUUCAAGGCGGAAUAGAAUCUUAUGGGACAUUAUUGUAUUUUAUGUAGCUGCUAGCUAGCUAGUCAGAAAAUAAACUUUGUUGAACAUUUCGCAGGAUAUAUUGUUGACGGUAAAAGUAGCUGUGGUAGCUACAGUAGCGUCUGAGGACGUUAACAUGUAAAAAAGAAAAGAAAAAGAAAACGAGGAUAUAUCCAUUCUGGGAACAAGUAAAUUUAUAGCCAACUUAACUCUCUCCAGUCCAGGCUAAAUUAAUCACGCUUUUACCUUCCUUUAUGCCACAUGACACACACCUAGCCAGCUAAAAUGACAUUUUGCCAUUAGUUUACACAGUGGCAAGAUGUAGUAGGUACCAAAUAAGUGAUUUAAUUUCACUAACAUACUGCUACUGCCUUAAAUUGAACCACUUAGAUUUCCAUCCAGGGAAGGGGGGCCUAGUUUACUAGGUUUUAAUUAUAUUUUGCACGAAAUACCCCUCCCCACGCACACAUACCUGAACACUUGAAAAGCAGUUGAAACAGAACAGAGAUAGGUGGUAGCAUUUUUCUACUAUGGUUAUACUCAUCACACGUUGACUUGCACCCAGACAAUGAGACAGGUUGGCACAACACCACCGGUGUAAUGUACCGUAUCAAAUUACAGACCAUGACAAAAGGUCCAGGAACUCCACAAUACUUCUGAGCUAAUAUUCUGCGGUGCAUCCCAACAAGUAGAUCAUUUGAUGUGUCAAUACUCAGUUCCGAUCAGGCAGAUCUUCAAGCAGUGUGCCCCAGCAGACGUCACAGUUGUGCCCUGGUUAACACCCCCUCACUGUGUGCCAACAAAGCUGUUUGCCAUAUUCAGGAGCUGAAGAGGCAACUGGAGAACUGGUGUCAACAGUCAGGAAAUGUUCAGCAUCAGAUGUCUCAUGAAAAACAGCAAAAUAGCAAAACUUUUAGAAGCUGAUCGCCAGGAUGCAGAGGAAGCUCUACAAACAGAGAAGAAGAGGAGGUGAACUUUUGGGAGAAAAAUGAAUACUAUUUCACUGUGGAAGCAGCCGUCCAGAAAGAUUGUAGAGUUGAAAAUAUGAAUCGAGGUAGAAGGUAGAACAUUUUCACAAUUAAAGGAAGGGAUUUCAGAGCUGCAGAAAGAAGUCCAUGCAACUAGACUUGCAGGUGAAGUGGCAGUCUCUCACACCGAGGAGGUGUUCCGUAAAAGAAACAUCAGGAUACCUUGAAUCUUCAUGAGGAAAACAAAGAGUAUGAACUGGAGAUUGAGGACUACAGCAAAAAUAUCUAUGAGAGCGAAGCAGCUUCAGAGGAGCAGGAAGCACAUGCAGCAGAAGUUCAGUGUGAACGAGGACCAGAGACAGAGGCUAAGGAGGAGCUGUCCCAGAUGGCUAUGUUGCACGCCAAGGUCAACUUGGAGGAGCUGGAGCAGAAGACCUUCAUGGUGGAGCAGAGGAUGAGAUAUCUCCUCAGAAAGUGACUGAGAAUCUGAAGAAAGACGAGCGAGUUGAAAGCCCUGGCCAUUCUGAAGGAUAAAAUAACAACUAUUGAAGCAGAAUUACACCAGGAGCAAACCAACACAGAAAACGCCAGAUGGGAACUUCAUAAGGAAUUUGAGGAGGCGUUAUCAGCUACAAAACAACUGGAAAUUGAAACGGAAAAACUGAGAAAGAUUUACAAUGAUAAAUCUGAAGAAAAUGUGAAGUUUAAGGGAGCAACUCAGUGAUAUUCUAACAGAACACAACAACACUUCAGUUUGUCUGUAAAAGGAAUGGAACCUAAAACUUGCCCAUCUAAACACAGUUAAUGUACAAUAAAGCAAGGGUUUACGCACAGUCACU
rnacentral:lncRNA from 1 species